AAGUCGUAACAAGGUUUCCGUAGGUGAACCUGCGGAAGGAUCAUUCAUAAUUGAGUGUUUUAUGGCACUCUUUAAAAAAAUCCAUAUCCACCUUGUGUGCAACGUUUUUGAACUCUCUGGCAUUAAAAAGCCAAGAGGGUUUGAUUAACUUAACACCUUUAAAGCAGUUUGUCUGAAUAUCUAUUUCUGAAUAAACAUAAUUCAAAAAUACAACUUUCAACAACGGAUCUCUUGGCUCUG
rnacentral:misc_RNA from 1 species